rnacentral:lncRNA from 1 species
GUUUUUUGUUUGUUUUUCCUGAUGUAUAAGUAAUUUUGCUGGGUGUAAACCAGUUAAGGUGGUGGGAUCUAAUUUGUUAAUCAAGUUACAUUGUUAGGAUUCAUUAGUUAAAUGACAGUAAAAUAAUCAAUGAAAGGCAUAGCUGAGAAUGAGAUGAUACUGUGUGUGUGUGUUAUAGGGAUUUCUUUAUUUCAGAUUCUUCAGAAUUUCAGAAAACUAUUUUAUCCCAAAAAGUUGCACCAAGCAAAAAAUUACCUGCACUACACACAGAAAGAAUGGUUGCCAUUGUGCAUACCACGAAAGAAGCCCUGCAACUUGUUGAAAUGUAUCAUGGCAGUCCAUUGGAUGGACAUCUAGGAAUAUUCAAAAUGAGGAAUAUGCUGACAUCAAAAUGCUAUUGGCCAGAGACGACAAAAGAUAUUGCCAAUUGGUUUAACCUGUAUAUUUGUGAAAGAUGGGGAAUAAAAUGUAGCUUCAUGAGACUGUACCAUCCACAAACUAAUGGCUUGGUUGAAAACACUAAUAAAUCCAUCAAAAGGUAAGCGAGCAGGUGGGAGUAUUACAGUACUAAUGGCAAGUAGAGUGUGCUAUGCCAGAAGAUGCAACUCACUAAAAAAUCUUCAAAAUCAACGUGUUACAUUGGAAGUCUUUCAUUAUGCAUUACACCUUUUUGAUUAUGUAUAAUCUAUUUCAGUCAAGACUGUACAUGUCUUUUUUUUCUUUUAAGCAAACCAAUGAGCAUUU